GACCACGUAGCUCAGUUGGCAGAGCAUUGGGCUAGUAUCCCAAAGGUCGUAGGUUUGAUUCCCACCGUGGCCG
rnacentral:tRNA from 1 species